UACGGGGGGGGCAAGCGUUGUUCGGAAUUACUGGGCGUAAAGGGCUCGUAGGUGGCCAACUAAGUCAGACGUGAAAUCCCUCGGCUUAACCGGGGAACUGCGUCUGAUACUGGAUGGCUUGAGUUCGGGAGAGGGAUGCGGAAUUCCAGGUGUAGCGGUGAAAUGCGUAGAUAUCUGGAGGAACACCGGUGGCGAAGGCGGGUCUCUGGGCCGAAACUGACGCUGAGGAGCGAGAGCGUGGGGAGCAAACAGG
rnacentral:rRNA from 1 species